UACAGAGGUGGCGAGCGUUAUCCGGAUUUACUGGGCGUAAAGCGAGUGCAGGCGGCCUCACAAGUGGUGUAUGAAAUAUCCAGGCUCAACCUGGAGGGGUUAUGCCAGACUGUGAGGCUAGAGUGCGAGAGAGGGGCGUGGAAUUCCGGGUGUAGUGGUGAAAUGCGUAGAGAUCCGGAGGAACCCCAGAGGCGAAGGCGGCGCCCUGGCUCGCAACUGACGCUCAGACACGACAGCAUGGGGAGCGAACGGG
rnacentral:rRNA from 1 species